rnacentral:rRNA from 1 species
AUUGAACGCUGGCGGCAGGCCUAACACAUGCAAGUCGAGCGAGCGGCGGACGGGUGAGUAAUGUAUGGGGAUCUGCCCGAUAGAGGGGGAUAACUACUGGAAACGGUAGCUAAUACCGCAUACCAUCGGAUGUGCCCAGAUGGGAUUAGCUAGUAGGUGGGGUAAAGGCUCACCUAGGCGACGAUCCCUAGCUGGUCUGAGCUGAUGACCAGCCACCAGGGAACUGAGAAAAGGUCCAGACGCCUACGGGAGGCAGGAGUGGGGAAUAUUGCACAAUGGGCGCAAGCCUGAUGCAGCCAUGCCGCGUGUGUGAAGAAGGCCUUCGGGUUGUAAAGCACUUUCAGCGAGGAGGCGUUACUCGCAGAAGAAGCACCGGCUAACUCCGUGCCAGCCGCCGCGGUAAUAC